rnacentral:rRNA from 1 species
GACGAACGCUGGCGGCGUGCUUAACACAUGCAAGUCGAACGGAAAGGCCCUGCUUUUGUGGGGUGCUCGAGCGGCGAACGGGUGAGUAACCCGUGAGUAACCUGCCCUUGACUUUGGGAUAACUUCAGGAAACUGGGGCUAAUACCGGCUAGGAGCUCCUGCUGCAUGGUGGGGGUUGGAAAGUUUGGGCGGUUGGGGAUGGACUCGCGGCUUAUCAGCUUGUUGGUGGGGUAGUGGCUUACCAAGGCUUUGACGGGUAGCCGGCCUGAGAGGGUGACCGGCCACAUUGGGACUGAGGUACGGCCCAGACUCCUACGGGAGGCAGCAGUGGGGAAUAUUGCACAAUGGGCGGAAGCCUGAUGCAGCAACGCCGCGUGCGGGAUGACGGCCUUCGGGUUGUAAACCGCUUUCGCCUGUGACGAAGCGUGAGUGACGGUAAUGGGUAAAGAAGCACCGGCUAACUACGUG